rnacentral:misc_RNA from 1 species
UUAAAAAAAAAAAAAAAAUUUGAAAAGUUAAAAGCAUAAGAUACAACGUGCAAGGUUUAUGAUGUAGAAAUUAACCAUUAAUUGUCAUUUUAUCUUUUUAGUAUCCCAUACUACUGUUAUUUCAUUUGAUGUUUCUUGCAAUCACAAUGCAUAUUCAUGACUUAGUUAUAGAAGUGCACUAGGAUUUCCAAUUCAUCAGCAGCUUAUGGCAAAGGGCUUGAAAAUAAUGUUUUUCUAAAAAUGGUUCAAUUUCUUUCUGGCUUUAACUAACCAUCUGUUGGUUCCUUCUAACUGGAAUUUUUUUUGUAAUUCAUUAAUCAAUGAUCAGUUUGUUCACUAUGCAUUCUCUUUACUUUGGUGCAUUUGUCAAAUUAUCUAGAUCUUUGGUUACUAGUUCUCAUCCUGGUUUAAUUUUUAACUUUGCAUAGCAAAUAUAUCUAGUUAUUAUGAUAUCCUUACAAUUUUUGGUCUGUGCAGAUAUUCCCUUGAGUGCGAGAGAUAUUUUGGAGGAUCCUGAGCUGAAAAUUGCUGUAAAAUCCUUCAGGUAAGUUACAUUCAGCGUAUUGUAACUCUAUGGUCUGUUAAGGCUUGUUAUUAACUACUAUCAGAAUCUCUUAUUGUAAAUUUCUUUGGUGCCCCUAGUGGUUAGCUGGAUAAACUGCAGUAAUUAACAGCAUUAAGCAUUCUCCGACUAAAGAGUUGUCAAUAUGAUGUAAUCUAUGGACAUCUGUUCCUACGCUUACAAUUUCUGUACAUGGAUGGUAGUAUUACUAUCACCGUGAUCAAUGACCUCCCUGCAAGCCCCUACCCCCACCAAAAAAAAAAAG